rnacentral:rRNA from 1 species
GACGAACGCUGGCGGCGUGCUUAACACAUGCAAGUCGAACGGAAAGGCCCUGCUUUUGUGGGGUGCUCGAGUGGCGAACGGGUGAGUAACACGUGAGUAACCUGCCCUUGACUUUGGGAUAACUUCAGGAAACUGGGGCUAAUACCGGAUAGGAGCUCCUGCUGCAUGGUGGGGGUUGGAAAGUUUCGGCGGUUGGGGAUGGACUAGCGGCUUAUCAGCUUGUUGGUGGGGUAGUGGCUUACCAAGGCUUUGACGGGUAGCCGGCCUGAGAGGGUGACCGGCCACAUUGGGACUGAGAUACGGACCAGACUGCUACGGGAGGCAGCAGUGGGGAAUAUUGCACAAUGGGCGGAAGCCUGAUGCAGCAACGCCGCGUGCGUGAUGACGGCCUUCGGGUUGUAAACCGCUUUCGCCUGUGACGAAGCGUGAGUGACGGUAAUGGGUAAAGAAGCACCGGCUAACUACGUG